ACUCCUACGGGAGGCAGCAGUCGAGAAUAGUCUACAAUGGUCGGAAGACUGAUAGUGCGACGCCGCGUGAACGAGGAAGCCUUUCGGGGUGUAAAGUUCUUUUCUAUGGGAGCAGGGCAUCCCUGGUUAACAGCGAGGGGUGUUUGAUAUUACUAUAGGAAUAAGCCACGGCUAACUCCGUGCCAGCAGCCGCGGUAAUACGGGGGUGGCGAGCGUUGUCCGGAAUUACUAGGCGUAAAGGGCAGGCAGGCGGAUUUGUAAGUUAAUCGUUAAAGGCCCGUGCUCACCAUGGGUAGGGCGGUUGAUACUGCGGAUCUGGAAGCGAGUGGGGGGAGACGGAAUUCCCGGUGUAGCGGUGGAAUGCGCAGAUAUCGGGAGGAACACCGAAGGCGAAGGCAGUCUUCUACGCUUGUCUUGACGCUCAACUGCGAAGGUGCGGGUAUCAAACAGGAUUAGAUACCCUGGUAGUC
rnacentral:rRNA from 1 species